AGCACCUCUUGACUCCGGUCAUUUGCAUGCACUGUUCCUUCUGCACAGAAAGCUCCCCAUUUCCCAGCCCUUGCCAAUCGACACUGAAUUUACAGUGUCAUAAGAGGCCACCCGUGACCUCCUAGACCUGGUUUUACACCCCACCCCACCCCCAGGUCUUAGGACUUCCUUUUGCCACACACAUCCUUUAUCUCUUCUACACUCACCAUGCCUCCCUUGCUAGUGUCCCUCUCCGUCACCAUGUGUGGCACAGUCUGCAGAUCCCCAAGAACCAAAGGCAGUGCCCAGCCAUUGAGUACAAUGUCUCCCAAAGAGCAUCCAGACUUCCUGGAGGGCUGGUUCCCACAACCUAGUAUUAGACUGCGUGGUAGAGACCACCCCCCGGUUACCAAGCAUGCCAGGUCUCAGACCUACGCCAUUUUUGAGAAACAAAUCCAAGCUGCUCUCUCUACUAUGGGAUUUCUCAGAGAUCUUGACACAGCGCUACAUCUGCAGUGAGACCCUGCCGAGAGCCUCUAGAGGAAAGCAGGAGCUUCCUGUUCACUUCGCGUGUUCUGAGUCUUCGGAGAGUGGGGUGGAGAGACCUGCCCAAGAUGUCCAGAGGCAAAGAAUGUCAUGGCAGCCACAUUCCCGGAUCCAGCUUCUCCUCCCAGGCAAUGAGGACUGCUUCUCAUUAUCCCUGCCCUGGCUGGUGGCUCCCAGUAGCCAAAGACGUGUUUCCAAUGUCCUUUGAGGGCAGUCUGAGAUUCUCUUACUCUACCUGGGACAGAGCAGCCUCAACAAUGCUGCCACUGUGUCUAAGACAGAUGCCCAUGGACCUCUGAGCUGGUGAAUUCACACUCAGUUCACAAGAGGGUGAAGGCUGAACUGCCUUUAAGAACAAACUCAUCUCCACUGAACUGAGUCCUCCAGCAGGAAGUGAGAUGAGAGGGUUUGACUGUUGCCUUCAGGAAUCUGGUACCGUGAGAAGAUGUCUCACUUCAAAGGACACCAUCAAGAAAGUAAGUCAACAACCAACUCAAAAGAAAAUAGACUGGUCAACUAUGUAGCCAACAAGGAACUGUAUCUAGAAUACACAAAGAACCCUUAUAGCUUAAUAAAGAGAGAGAGAUAACUCAAUUAAAAAUGGGCAGAAGAUCUGAGUAGACUGAUCCUCAAAGAAGAUCACAGAU